rnacentral:rRNA from 1 species
AUUGAACGCUGGCGGAAUGCUUUACACAUGCAAGUCGAACGGCAGCACGGACUUCGGUCUGGUGGCGAGUGGCGAACAGGUGAGUAAUGUAUCGGAACGUGCCCAGUCGUGGGGGAUAACGUAGUGAAAAUUACGCUAAUACCGCAUACGAUCUAUGGAUGAAAGCGGGGGAUCGCAAGACCUCGCGCGCUUGGAGCGGCCGAUAUCAGAUUAGGUAGUUGGUGGGGUAAAGGCCCACCAAGCCAACGAUCUGUAGCUGGUCUGAGAGGACGACCAGCCACACUGGAACUGAGACACGGUCCAGACGCCUACGGGAGGCAGCAGUGGGGAAUUUUGGACAAUGGGCGAAAGCCUGAUCCAGCCAUUCCGCGUGCAGGAUGAAGGCCCUCGGGUUGUAAACUGCUUUUGUACAGAACGAAAAGGUUUCUACUAAUACUAGGAGCUCAUGACGGUACUGUAAGAAUAAGCACCGGCUAACUACGUGCCAGCCGCCGCCGUAA